rnacentral:RNase_P_RNA from 1 species
UGAGAAAAACAGCUUGUUGAUUUCAAUUUAUUGGAAUAGGAAAGUCCGGACACCGAAGAGCAGCAAAGCGGUUAACAGCCGUCGGUCGUGAGAUCAGGACAAGUGCAACAGAAAGUAUGUAUAUUAAUUUAUAGUGAAACCAGGUAAACUCUUUGCGGUGCAAUGUUAAGUACAUCGAUGCUUUUAGAUUCGUCUAAGAUAGGAGUUGCUGGCUCCGAAAAUCGAGGGGUAAACAGCUAAAGUUUUGCAGCAAUGUAAGAUGUAGAUAAAUAACAGGCGUUCAAUUUAUUUUGAAAACAGAAUCCGGCUUAUCGUUUUUCUCAUGGG